CCUACGGGAGGCAGCAGUGAGGAAUAUUGGACAAUGGGCGCAAGCCUGAUCCAGCCAUGCCGCGUGCAGGAUGACGGUCCUAUGGAUUGUAAACUGCUUUUAUACGAGAAGAAACACUCCAACGUGUUGGAGCUUGACGGUAUCGUAAGAAUAAGGAUCGGCUAACUCCGUGCCAGCAGCCGCGGUAAU
rnacentral:rRNA from 1 species